rnacentral:rRNA from 1 species
CAGUAGCCGCGGUAAUACGGAGGGUGCAAGCGUUAAUCGGAAUUACUGGGCGUAAAGCGCACGCAGGCGGUCUGACAAGUCAGAUGUGAAAUCCCCGGGCUUAACCUGGGAACUGCAUUUGAAACUGUCAGGCUGGAGUCUUGUAGAGGGGGGUAGAAUUCCAGGUGUAGCGGUGAAAUGCGUAGAGAUCUGGAGGAAUACCGGUGGCGAAGGCGGCCCCCUGGACAAAGACUGACGCUCAGGUGCGAAAGCGUGGGGAGCAAACAGGAUUAGAUACCGGUAGUCCCUGUCUCUUAUACAC